GGGUUGUGAGGUUAAGCGACUAAGCGUACACGGUGGAUGCCCUGGCAGUCAGAGGCGAUGAAGGACGUGCUAAUCUGCGAUAAGCGUCGGUAAGGUGAUAUGAACCGUUAUAACCGGCGAUUUCCGAAUGGGGAAACCCAGUGUGAUUCGUCACACUAUCAUUAACUGAAUCCAUAGGUUAAUGAGGCGAACCGGGGGAACUGAAACAUCUAAGUACCCCGAGGAAAAGAAAUCAACCGAGAUUCCCCCAGUAGCGGCGAGCGGACGGGGAGCAGCCCAGAGCCUGAAUCAGUGUGUGUGUUAGUGGAAGCGUCUGGAAAGGCGUGCGAUACAGGGUGACAGCCCCGUACACAAAAAUGCACAUAUUGUGAGCUUGAUGAGUAGGGCGGGACACGUGGUAUCCUGUCUGAAUAUGGGGGGACCAUCCUCCAAGGCUAAAUACUCCUGACUGACCGAUAGUGAACCAGUACCGUGAGGGAAAGGCGAAAAGAACCCCGGCGAGGGGAGUGAAAAAGAACCUGAAACCGUGUACGUACAAGCAGUGGGAGCACGCUUAGGCGUGUGACUGCGUACCUUUUGUAUAAUGGGUCAGCGACUUAUAUUCUGUAGCAAGGUUAACCGAAUAGGGGAGCCGAAGGGAAACCGAGUCUUAACUGGGCGUUAAGUUGCAGGGUAUAGACCCGAAACCCGGUGAUCUAGCCAUGGGCAGGUUGAAGGUUGGGUAACACUAACUGGAGGACCGAACCGACUAAUGUUGAAAAAUUAGCGGAUGACUUGUGGCUGGGGGUGAAAGGCCAAUCAAACCGGGAGAUAGCUGGUUCUCCCCGAAAGCUAUUUAGGUAGCGCCUCGUGAAUUCAUCUCCGGGGGUAGAGCACUGUUUCGGCAAGGGGGUCAUCCCGACUUACCAACCCGAUGCAAACUGCGAAUACCGGAGAAUGUUAUCACGGGAGACACACGGCGGGUGCUAACGUCCGUCGUGAAGAGGGAAACAACCCAGACCGCCAGCUAAGGUCCCAAAGUCAUGGUUAAGUGGGAAACGAUGUGGGAAGGCCCAGACAGCCAGGAUGUUGGCUUAGAAGCAGCCAUCAUUUAAAGAAAGCGUAAUAGCUCACUGGUCGAGUCGGCCUGCGCGGAAGAUGUAACGGGGCUAAACCAU
rnacentral:rRNA from 2 species